AAUAUAAUUUUAACUCACAUUUGUAUAAUUAAAAAAGGGUUUUAUGCUUUCCCUAUUGGAUGGGCCCCCUGCGCAUUAGUUAGUUUGUGGAGUAAUGGCUCUCCCAAGGCAUCGGAUCGUUGCCGACCCGAGGGGGGAUAUGGCCCCAAUGGGGUUAGAGCCCGGCCCCGACUCCUUCGGGAGGCAGCCGUAGGGAAUUUUUCCCCAUGGGCGAAAACUUGAUGGGGCAACCCCGCGUGAGGGAAGAAAGUUUUUGGAUUGUAAAACUUUGUUGUAAAGGAAGAACAAGUACAGUAGUAACUGGGUGUACCUUGACGGUUCCUUAUUAGAAAACCACGGGUAACUUCGUUCCCGCCACCCGGGGCAAUACGUAGGUGGCAAGGGUUGUUCGGAUUUAUUUGGGGUUAAGCGCGCGCCGGUGGUUUCUUAAAUUUGAUGUGAAAACCCACGGCUUAACCGUGGAGGGUCAUUGGAAAAUGGGAGACUUGAGUUCAGAAGAGGAAAGUGGAAUUCCAAGUGUAGCGGUGAAAUGUGUAGAGAUUUGGAGGAACACCAGUGGCGAAGGCGACUUUCUGGUCUGUAAUUAACUCUGAGGCUUGAAAGCGUGGGGAGCAAACAGGAUUAGAUACCCUGGUAGUCCACGCUGUAAACGAUGAAUACUAGGUGUAGGCACGCAUAGUGUGUCGGUGCCGCGGCACAUGCGUUAAGUAUUCCACGUGGGGAGUACGUUAGCAAGAAUGAUACUCAAAGGAAUUGUCGGGGACCCGCCCGAGCGGUGGAGCAUGUGUUUUACUUUGAAGCAAAGUGAAGAGCUUUGACAGCUCUUGACAUCCAUGUGACGGGACCCCAUCCGGUCUUUGUCCUUGGAGCAGGAGACCCAGGUGGUGCAUGGUGGUGGUCUGCUGGCGUUGUGUCAGUCUCGGUGAAGUCGAUCACCGUGUGCGAUCGUUAUCUUCUGGUGCCA
rnacentral:rRNA from 1 species